CAGGAACCAGCCUUGAACCACACAGAAAACGUGUGCGCAUAUUAAUUAAUAGAUAACCAUAUUCCUGGAUUUCAGCUUGGUGAGUGAUGACAGAGACUGUGACCCCCGGAAUGGAGCCUGAACAGAACCUAAACCAUGCAUUCAUCUAUCCAUGUCUUUGCAUGGAUCGUUGCUUGACAUAAUUGCAGAAUCAAGCAAGGAUACCUAAAAGGUUACUCUCGAGGGCGAUUGCAACACAAAUUGUCCACUAGGCUAAUUCAAGCUGAACUCUCUCAGAACUGGUGGUCAACCUCUACCAAGAUCUCCAGUGCCAUCCCACUUUUCAGCAGACACUCUUACUGUCUUCCAGUUGGAGCUUGUACCCACUACAUGACCAUGGGGCUCCCUAUUAGCAGACAAACCUUUUCAUUAAACUGCUGCCAGCUCCAUCAUCGAUGAAGGCAAGUGAGCCAGUUCCAGUUGCAGCCAUAUUUGCCUAAGCCAUAACAUCCCAUCAACAAAUGUAACAGAUGAUACAGCAUUUGGGGAACAAAUCCACAAUAGACUUAAAAGUAUAACAUGGAUUUUGCCAGUUUAAUUUAAUAAGUAGCCAGGCAUUCUCUGUCUAUGAUGGCACUGAAGUGGCCAACAAAACAUAACAUGGACAUCUAACUAUUGAUUUGCACCUGGCAAUGUAGCUUCUGUAUGUCUGCUGAUUAUCUCUUCUGCUGAUGGUAGUGGUUGAGACAACCACGCCUGCCCCCUGGAGAAUGUUCCUGAUACUGUAUGUCUAUAGUUGUUCUUUUAUUUUUUAUAUAGUAAGUAUUCUUCAGUCAUCGACUGUAGAGGGUCGCUUUGGCCUAUCAGUCCUUUUGCGAUCACUGAUUUCACCAGUGUUUUCCUACUUUUUACUUAGUUCCUAACCAUUGUUUUUGUAUCAAGCUGAAGAUAAUUCAACUUGAUAAUUUCUUCCUUGACUUUCACUGACACCUCUUUUGUCCUCAUGUAUGGGAAAGACACCAAUUGCAGACACCAAAUGCGAAAUCCAAGCUUAGAAUCAAGACUACACAUUGACAGCUCUCUAAUGCCAGCCACAUGUACAGUGGAUAUAAAAAGUCUACACACCCCUGUUAAAA